rnacentral:rRNA from 1 species
UACAGAGGUCUCAAGCGUUUGUUCGGAUUCAUUGGGCGUAAAGGGUGCGUAGGUGGCGCGCUAAGUCAGGUGUGAAAUCUCGGGGCUUAACUCCGAAACUGCAUUCGAUACUGCCGUGCUUGAGGACUGGAGAGGAGACUGGAAUUUACGGUGUAGCGGUGAAAUGCGUAGAUAUCGUAAGGAAGACCAGUGGCGAAGGCGGGUCUCUGGACAGUUCCUGACACUGAGGCACGAAGGCCAGGGGGAGCAAAACGGGG